AUGGCAAAUGUGAGAUGCAGUGUAUGGAAUGUCAAAUUUCUAGUAUGAGAAAUUAACGAUUUAAGUCCUUCUUAAAUGAGGCCAUUUACCCAUAGAGGGUGCCAGGCCCGUAUAACGUUAAUGAUUACUAGAUGGCAUUUCCAAAGAGUCGUGUUGCUUGAUAGUGCAGCACUAAGUGGGUGGUAAACUCCAUCUAAAACUAAAUAUAACCAUGAGACCGAUAGUAAACAAGUACCGUGAGGGAAAGUUGAAAAGAACUCUGAAUAGAGAGUUAAAUAGUACGUGAAACUGCUUAGAGGUUAAGCCCGAUGAACCUGAAUAUCCAUUAUAGAAAAUUCAUCAUUAUGAUUUUAAUAUUUAUAAUAUUAUAAUAAUGGUGUGCAUUUUUUCUAUAACGGACAUUGUAAUCUAUUAACAUAAAUUAAUUUAUCAUAAGAUCAAUGAUGCGUAAGUUUAUUCAAAUUAUUUUGCUUGCAAUUUAACAUAGAAUAAAUGCUCUUGAUUUGAUAAAGUGUUGAUAGAUUUAUUGUAUAUAGUGCUUAAAUAUUUAUAUUUUAUAAUAGCAUAUUAAUCAUUGAUUUUUAUGUUUAUUAUAUGCACUUAUAUGAUUAACAAUGCGAAAGAUUCAGGAUACCUUCGGGACCCGUCUUGAAACACGGACCAAGGAGUCUAACAUAUUUGCAAGUUAUUGGGUAUCAAAACCUAAUAGCGAAAUUAACAUAACUUUAAUGGGAUUAGUUUUUAGAUUAUUUAUAGUCUAUUAAUUCAAUCCCGGGGCGUUCUAUAUAGUUAUGUAUAAUAAUAUUUAUAUUAUUUAUACCUCUAACUAGAGCGUACCUUGAGCAUAUAUGCUGUGACCCGAAAGAUGGUGAACUAUACUUGAUCAGGUUGAAGUCAGGGGAAACCCUGAUGGAAGACCGAAACAGUUCUGACGUGCAAAUCGAU
rnacentral:rRNA from 1 species